UGUAGGAGUGAGCCUGCUCGCGAUAGCGGUGUGUCAGAUGCAUUGAUGUUACUGACCCACCGCUAUCGCGAGCAGGCUCACUCCUACA
rnacentral:misc_RNA from 1 species